GAUGAAGAACGCAGCGAAAUGCGAUACUUGGUGUGAAUUGCAGAAUCCCGUGAACCAUCGAGUCUUUGAACGCAAGUUGCGCCCGAAGCCACUAGGCCGAGGGCACGCCUGCCUGGGCGUCACACGUCGUUGCCCCCCACCAUCUACUCCUUCGGGAUUGCGGGGGGCGGAUGAUGGCCUCCCGUGCGCCUAGCCGCGCGGUUGGCAUAAAUACCAAGUCCUCGGCGACGCACGCCACGACAAUCGGUGGUUGCGAACCCUCGGUUGCCCGUCGUGUGCGUUCGUCGCGCAUCGAGGGCUCGAAAAAAUGCUCGGCUCCGGCUCGGCUUUCAACGCGACCCCAGGUCAGGCGGGGUUACCCGCUGAAUUUAAGCAUAUCAAUAAGCGGAGGA
rnacentral:misc_RNA from 1 species